ACCCUGAAGGAUUAGCUCAGGAUUAGAUCAUGAGACUCUUAAUUUCAGGAUUGUGGGUUUGAGCCCCAUUUUGGAUG